CCCGCCUGCCCUGUGACUAUAUGUUUAACGGCCGCGGUAUUUUGACCGUGCAAAGGUAGCGCAAUCACUUGUCUUUUAAAUGGAGACCUGUAUGAAUGGCAAGACGAGGGCUAAGCUGUCUCCUUUCCCAAGUCAGUGAAAUUGAUCUCUCCGUGCAGAAGCGGGGAUAAUCUCAUAAGACGAGAAGACCCUAUGGAGCUUUAGACACUAGAAAGACCAUGUUAAACAACCCUACCUGCAGGGAAGAACUUAGUGGUGCCUAUCCUAAUUGUCUUCGGUUGGGGCGACCGCGGGGGAAAGACUAGCCCCCAUGUGGAAUGGGAAUAAAUACUCCUAGAGCCGAGAGUUACCUCUCUAAGCAGCAGAAAUUCUGACCAAUCAAGAUCCGGCAUAGCCGAUCAACGGACCCAGUUACCCUAGGGAUAACAGCGCAAUCCUCUCCCAGAGUCCCUAUCGACGAGUGGGUUUACGACCUCGAUGUUGGAUCAGGACAUCCUAAUGGUGCAGCCGCUAUUAAGGG
rnacentral:rRNA from 1 species